GAUGAAGAACGUGGCGAAAUGCGAUAAGUAAUGUGAAUUGCAGAAUUCAGUGAAUCAUCGAAUCUUUGAACGCACCUUGCACCCUUUGGUAUUCCGAAGGGUAUGCUCGUUUGAGUGUCAUUGUACUCUCACACUUCUAAUUCCUUUCGGGAUUGGGAGCGGUGGACUUGGGUGUUGCUGCUUUAGUUGUGGCUCACCUCAAAUAAGUUAGUGCAACUCUUGGUUGGACAUAGUACGGCGUGAUAAGUGUCUUCGCCGGCGCCUCUGUAAGGAGGGUGGCCGAUCGGGAGCUCUGUGCUUCAAACCGUCUUCGGACAAUCUUUGACAACUUGACCUCCAAUCGAGUAGGACUACCCGCUGAACUUAAGCAUAUCAAUAAGCGGAGGA
rnacentral:misc_RNA from 1 species